GGAAGGAUCAUUAUUGAAAUAAACCUGAUGGGUUGUUGCUGGCUCUCUAGAGAGCAUGUGCACGCCUUGUCAUCUUUAAAUCUCCACCUGUGCACCUUUUGUAGACCUUUUCAGGUCUAUGUUGUCUCAUUUACCCCAAUGUAUGUUAAUAGAAUGUUGUGACUAUAUAAUAUAUACAACUUUCAGCAACGGAUCUCUUGGCUCUCGCAUCGAUGAAGAACGCAGCGAAAUGCGAUAAGUAAUGUGAAUUGCAGAAUUCAGUGAAUCAUCGAAUCUUUGAACGCACCUUGCGCUCCUUGGUAUUCCGAGGAGCAUGCCUGUUUGAGUGUCAUUAAUAUAUAUAUCAACCUUCUCUUGUUGAAUGGUUUGGAUGUGGGGGUUUGCUGGCCUCUUAAAAGGAUUCAGCUCUCCUGAAAUGCAUUAGCAGAACAAAACCUGUUCAUUGGUGUGAUAACUAUCUACGCUAUUGAAUGUGAGGUGGCAGUUCAGCUUUCUAACAGUCCCUUGGGACAACUCAUCAUUAAUGUGACCUCAAAUCAGGUAGGACUACCCGCUGAACUUAAGCAUAUCAA
rnacentral:sRNA from 1 species